CUUUGUCCGUUUGAAGUCGAGUUUUUAUCCCUUCAAGAUGUUGUUGGAUUUUAUCCUGAUGGAAGAGAAAUAUCAAAAGUUUUUAGUUGUAGUUUUGCCCCAAAAGGCUCUAUAAAGGAAAUCCGUUAUCAGAGAAGAUUCUUCGAAAGGGAUAAUAAGGACUUGCCUAAUCCCAAGAGUUCAGAUCCAAUUCAAAAAAAGGAGCAAAAG
rnacentral:lncRNA from 1 species